rnacentral:lncRNA from 1 species
CUUCUAUCCUAAGCCAUGCUUUGAUUUUAUAAUAAUACAAUUUAUUGUAAUUGAGACAGCAAUCUGGUUUUGAAAUACAAAGGAGGAAGGCAAUAUGAUUACUCUUUAAGGUAUAAGUUCUUUUGGGCAGAAACAAGGGGUUUGGGGUGUCCAUAGAGAGCCAGUUUGGAGGGAGCCAGGGUGAGGGAUGCUUUGGCACUAACAAAAAGAGUUAACAGCUGAUUGUUACCAUUUUAGAGGUAAGAACUGCUAAAUGAGCCAGCAUAAAAUAUGUUUCCAGAAGCCCAAACAAAAACAAACUAAUCUGCAUCCUCAUUCACUUUGUCAGAAAAUUGGUGCUUUUCUAUGUGUUCACUAGCUGCCUCAUCUCCUCCAGAGGAAACUCUUCUUUGCUGGUGGAGCAUCAUCACAUCCUCAGAUUUCAUUUUUCUGCUCUGGUGUUUUGCCUCCAGCCAAAGGCAGAUGGAUUCAAUCACAACUAAUCGCUGGCAUGAUGACUUUGGUGUGUUUGAUGAGGACACCGAUGCCUUUCACCGAAAUCAUCUGAGGUGGCACAAGAAGAAGAGGACAACUUUGUCAGUAAGAGAAAAGAAAAGACAGGAAUCUACAGCAGGAAUCCUAGAGGCUGAUAGUACUGGACAAAUGUGGGCACAUGGCUAGUCUGUACAGAGCCAAAUAAUAAAAAAGCAGACUCCAUCUGCA